AUGCCUGUACCAUAACCGACACAGGUGGGUAAGUAGAGUAUACUAAGGGGCGCGAGAUAACUCUCUCUAAGGAACUCGGCAAAAUAACUCCGUAACUUCGGGAGAAGGAGUGCCUUAUUCUUAAGGUUGCAAUAACAAGAUCCAAGCAACUGUUUAUCAAAAACACAGGUCUCCGCUAAGUCGUAAGACGAUGUAUGGGGGCUGACGCCUGCCCAGUGCCAGAAGGUUAAAGAAGUCGGUUAGCAAUAGCAAAGCUGGUAACUGAAGCCCUGGUGAACGGCGGCCGUAACUAUAACGGUCCUAAGGUAGCGAAAUUCCUUGUCGGGUAAGUUCCGACCCGCACGAAAGGCGUAAUGAUUUGGAUGCUGUCUCGGAGAGGGGCUCGGUGAAAUAGACUUGUCUGUGAAGAUGCGGACUACCUGCACCAGGACAGAAAGACCCUACGAAGCUUUACUGUAACUUGAAAUUGAAAUUGGACUUUAUUCGCGCAGUAUAGGUGGGAGGCGUUGAUUAUAAUCUUGUGGGAUUAUUGGAGCCAUCAGUGAGAUACCACUCUUGUAAUGUUAGAUUUCUAACUUUGAAUCAUUAUCUGGUCAAAGGACAGUUUCAGGCGGGCAGUUUGACUGGGGCGGUCGCCUCCUAAACGGUAACGGAGGCGUACAAAGGUUUCCUCUGAACGGUUAGAAAUCGUAUCUAGAGUGUAAAGGCAUAAGGAAGCUUGACUGUGAGACCUACAAGUCGAGCAGGGACGAAAGUCGGUCUUAGUGAUCUGACGGUACUGAGUGGAAAGGCCGUCACUCAACGGAUAAAAGUUACUCUAGGAUAACAGGCUGAUCUCCCCCAAGAGUUCACAUCGACGGGGAGGUUUGGCACCUCGAUGUCGGCACAUCGCAUCCUGGGGCGGUAGUACGUCCCAAGGGUUGGGCUGUUCGCCCAUGAAAGCGGUACGCGAGCUGGGUUCAGAACGUCGUGAGACAGUUCGGUCCAUAUCCGGUGUAGGCGCUAGAAUAUUGAGAGGAGCCUUCUUUAGUACGAGAGGACCGAGAAGGACAUACCUCUGGUGUACCAGUUAUCGUGCCAACGGUAAACGCUGGGUAGCUAUGUAUGGAGUGGAUAACCGCUGAAAGCAUCUAAGUGGGAAGCCCACCUCAAGAUAAGUAUUCUCAUCACGUAAGUGAGUAAGGUCACGGUAAGACUAACCGUUUGAUAGGCAUUAAGUGUAAGUACAGUAAUGUAUGUGCUGAGAUGUCCUAAUAGACCGAGGAC
rnacentral:rRNA from 1 species